rnacentral:rRNA from 1 species
GAUGAACGCUAGCGGCAGGCCUAAUACAUGCAAGUCGAACGGGAUCUGAGGGUAGCUUGCUACCCGAUUUGAGAGUGGCGCACGGGUGCGUAACGCGUGAGCAACCUACCCAUAUCCGGGGGAUAGCCCGAAGAAAUUCGGAUUAACACCGCAUAAUAAUACGCUAACACAUGUUGAUGUAUUUAAAUAUUUAUAGGAUAUGGAUGGGCUCGCGUGACAUUAGCUAGUUGGUAAGGUAACGGCUUACCAAGGCGACGAUGUCUAGGGGCUCUGAGAGGGGAAUCCCCCACACUGGUACUGAGACACGGACCAGACUCCUACGGGAGGCAGCAGUAAGGAAUAUUGGUCAAUGGGCGCAAGCCUGAACCAGCCAUGCCGCGUGCAGGAUGACUGCCCUAUGUGUUGUAAACUGCUUUUGUUAGGGAAUAAACCUUCUUACGUGUAAGGAGCUGAAUGUACCUAAAGAAUAAGGAUCGGCUAACUCCGUGCCAGCCGCCGCCGUAA